rnacentral:rRNA from 1 species
UACGGGGGGGGGCAAGCGUUGUUCGGAAUUACUGGGCGUAAAGGGCUCGUAGGCGGCCAACUAAGUCGGAUGUGAAAUCCCCAGGCUUAACCUGGGAACUGCAUCCGAUACUGGAUGGCUUGAAUCCGGGAGAGGGAUGCAGAAUUCCAGGUGUAGCGGUGAAAUGCGUAGAUAUUGGGAGGAACACCAGUGGCGAAGGCGGCUCACUGGACCGGUACUGACGCUGAUGCGCGAAAGCGUGGGGAGCAAACGGGG